rnacentral:tRNA from 1 species
GCCGGGGUAACUCAGUCGGUAAGAGUGCCAGACUCAUAAUCUGGAAGUCGUGGGUUCAAUCCCCACCCCCGGCACCA